GCAAGUGUAGCUCAAUUGGAUAGAGCAACGGCCUACGAAGCCGUAGGUUGAAGGUUCGAGUCCUUCCACUUGCG
rnacentral:tRNA from 1 species